GCCACGCCGGCAGCGAAUCACCUCCAUGGUGCCUUCCGGUUGUGUACCCGUGUACACUCCGUAGUACGUGUUACAAAUCGGACACGCCGGUUUCAACCUAAAGGCAGUGUCGAUGCAGUCUGAGCAGUAUGAAUGAAGACAAUCUAAUGUCCUUUUGUCGUGAAUUUUGUCCAGACAAAUGGCACAGCUUUCCACGCUGUUGGGAUCCGCGGCGUGUUUCUGUGAUGUCUUUGCCAUACUUUUUCCGGGAUGUGAUGCCUCUGACGUUAAACAGCCCAACUGCUCACAUGGGUCAGAUGCUAAAUCCUGAUUGGUCGAGCAGUAAGCGGAAAUGCAUGUGCAAAUCAUCUUGCUGACGUCAUUGUUUGAAAUGUGGUGAUGACGUUUUGAAAUCCUGUCGUCAUCGAGGUACCGAUCGUGAAAGUAAGGCGCUGCUCGAAGGCCCGGCGCAGGAGGCCCAGCACGCGGUUCCCCUCAGGGCUGUCAGGGAGGUUUAUGAGGAGGGAGAAGACAUGAAACAAACCUAGAGCUGGUUAGGUUCCAGG